UCCUUUUUUGAGCAUCAUAUUAAUUUUGUGUUUUUCAAUAUUUUCCCUCGUAGAGAAAAUCAAACAGAAAAUGAACAAUUACAAGCAGACUACUUGGAGCGCCUAAAAUAGCAGAAAGUAGGCUUGCUGAAUCUGCCAAUCAAGCUCUACAAAAGAACAAAUGUACAACAGCAGCUCAAAAUGAUGUAACAUCAAAUGGCAAAUCAGAAUGUUGUACAAAUAAAACAAAAGAAGUGGUUGAAUUAAGUGAUGAUGACCUUGAGGAAGAUGCUGACGUUUUUAAAUCUCCGCAAAAGAAGAAAGUUAAAAUUGUAUCCCCAACUGAAAUAAUGUGUGACAAGCAAUGUUUGAAUGAAAAAAUGGGACGAAUCAAGAAAGCAAAGAAGAUUCUGCUGCAGCUGCCUUCAAUGCUGUUCAAAAUCAAUGUCCAGAUGAAGUUUCCGUUCCUAAACCCAAGUUUACCAGACCCCCAAAAUUUAUUUUGGUACCCGGACCCACAAGCAGAUAGAGCAAAUUAUAAAAGAACUGAAGAAAACAGCGUACAAAGACAUCAGAAUGACUAUUCUAUCAAGUAG
rnacentral:lncRNA from 1 species